AGCGAACGCUGGCGGCAGGCCUAACAUAUGCAAGUCGAACGAAGUCUUCGGACUUAGUGGCGGACGGGUGAGUAACACGUGGGAACGUGCCUUUAGGUUCGGAAUAACUCAGGGAAACUUGUGCUAAUACCGAAUGUGCCCUUCGGAGGAAAGAUUUAUCGCCUUUAGAGCGGCCCGCGUCUGAUUAGCUAGUUGGUGAGGUAAAGGCUCACCAAGGCGACGAUCAGUAGCUGGUCUGAGAGGAUGAUCAGCCACAUUGGGACUGAGACACGGCCCAAACUCCUACGGGAGGCAGCAGUGGGGAAUCUUGCGCAAUGGGCGAAAGCCUGACGCAGCCAUGCCGCGUGAAUGAUGAAGGUCUUAGGAUUGUAAAAUUCUUUCACCGGGGACGAUAAUGACGGUACCCGGAGAAGAAGCCCCGGCUAACUUCGUGCCAGCCGCCGCGGUAAUAC
rnacentral:rRNA from 1 species